rnacentral:rRNA from 1 species
GAUGAACGCUGGCGGCGUGCCUAAUACAUGCAAGUCGAGCGAACAGACGAGGAGCUUGCUCCUCUGACGUUAGCGGCGGACGGGUGAGUAACACGUGGAUAACCUACCUAUAAGACUGGGAUAACUUCGGGAAACCGGAGCUAAUACCGGAUAAUAUAUUGAACCGCAUGGUUCAAUAGUGAAAGACGGUUUUGCUGUCACUUAUAGAUGGAUCCGCGCCGCAUUAGCUAGUUGGUAAGGUAACGGCUUACCAAGGCGACGAUGCGUAGCCGACCUGAGAGGGUGAUCGGCCACCCGGGAACUGGAACACGGUCCAGACGCCUACGGGAGGCAGCAGUAGGGAAUCUUCCGCAGUGGGCGAAAGCCUGACGGAGCAACGCCGCGUGAGUGAUGAAGGUCUUCGGAUCGUAAUACUCUGUUAUUAGGGAAGAACAAAUGUGUAAGUAACUAUGCACGUCUUGACGGUACCUAAUCAGAAAGCCACGGCUAACUACGUG